rnacentral:lncRNA from 1 species
AGAAUCAGAGGUUCCUGCAACUUAUUCUUUUUCCAAUGCCCUUUUGGCAAUAUCCACCUGACCGUUUGCUCUUUUUUUUUUGUUUUCGGUUCAGGCGUUUCUUGCAUUGCUUUUUCCUUUUCUUUUCUUUUCUUUUUUUCUUUUUCUUUUUUUUUAUUUUUUCUUUUUUUCUUUAGCAGGAUCGACCUCGACUCCUCUUUCGUUCACAAUAGGUCUCGGCAACUUACCGGACAGCACUCCACAAGUGCACUGAAUCGGACUCAACCUCAGUCUGAGUUGU